rnacentral:rRNA from 1 species
UACAAGCCUAAUUAAGGUGAAACCGCGAAAGGCUCAUUAAAUCAGUUAAGGUUCCUUAGAUCGUACCACAUUUACUUGGAUAACUGUGGUAAUUCUAGAGCUAAUACAUGCAAGCAGAACCCCGACCGGAGACGGAAGGGGCGCUUUUAUUAGAUCAAAAUCAAUCGGCGGUGCGUUCGCGCGUGCCGUCGUACUCUUUGGUGACUCUGAAUAACUUUUGCUGAUCGCACGGUCUCGCACCGGCGACGCAUCUUUCAAAUGUCUGCCUUAUCAACUGUCGAUGGUAGGUUCUGCGCCUACCAUGGUUGUAACGGGUAACGGGGAAUCAGGGUUCGAUUCCGGAGAGGGAGCCUGAGAAACGGCUACCACAUCCAAGGAAGGCAGCAGGCGCGCAAAUUACCCACUCCCAGCUCGGGGAGGUAGUGACGAAAUCUAACGAUACGGGACUCAUCCGAGGCCCCGUAAUCGGAAUGGGUAAAGUUUAAAGCUUUUUUCGAGGAUCAAUUGGAGGGCAAGUCUGGUGCCAGCAGCCGCGGUAAUUCCAGCUCCAAUAGCGUAUAUUAAAGUUGUUGCGGUUAAAAUGCUCGUAGUCGAAUCUGUGUCUCGCGCCGCCGGUUCAUCGCUCGCGGUGUUUACUGGCGUGCCGCGGGACGUCCUGCCGGUGGGCUUAGCUCCGCAAGGGGCGGUCCAACUCGAAAUCCCAUCGCGGUGCUCUUCGUUGAGUGUCGAGAUGGGCCGGCACGUUUACUUUGAACAAAUUAGAGUGCUCAAAGCAGGCUAAUCUUGCCUGAAUACUGUGUGCAUGGAAUAAUGGAAUAGGACCUCGGUUCUAUUUUGUUGGUUCUCGGAACCCCGAGGUAAUGAUUAAUAGGAACGGAUGGGGGCAUUCGUAUUGCGACGUUAGAGGUGAAAUUCUUGGAUCGUCGCAAGACGGACAGAAGCGAAAGCAUUUGCCAAAAACGCUUUCAUUGAUCAAGAACGAAAGUUAGAGGUUCGAAGGCGAUCAGAUACCGCCCUAGUUCUAACCAUAAACGAUGCCAGCUAGCGAUCCGCCGAAGUUCUUUUGAUGACUCGGCGGGCAGCUUACGGGAAACCAAAGCUUUUGGGUUUCGGGGGGAGUAUGGCUGCAAAGCUGAAACUUAAAGGAAUUGACGGAAGGGCACCACCAGGAGUGGAGCCUGCGGCUUAAUUUUGACUCAACACGGGAAACCUCACCAGGCCCGGACACCGGAAGGAUUGACAGAUUGAGAGCUCUUUCUUGAUUCGGUGGGUGGUGGUGCAUGGCCGUUCUUAGCUGGUGGAGCGAUUUGUCUGGUUAAUUCCGAUAACGGGCGAGACUCUAACCUGCUAACUAGGCGUAUUUCCGACAUCUCAAAGGUCGGGCCUCGUGUUCGAUUUUUACUGUCGGCGUACAAUUCACUCUUCUUAGAGGGAAAGGCGGCAAUUAGCCGCACGAGAUUGAGCAAUAACAGGUCUGUGAUGCCCUUAGAUGUUCUGGGCCGCACGCGCGCUACACUGAAGGAAUCAGCGUGUCUUCCCUGGCCGACAGGUCCGGGUAACCCGCUGAACCUCCUUCGUGCUAGGGAUCGGGGCUUGCAAUUAUUCCCCGUGAACGAGGAAUUCCCAGUAAGCGCGAGUCAUAAGCUCGCGUUGAUUAAGUCCCUGCCCUUUGUACACACCGCCCGUCGCCACUACCGAUUGAAUGAUUUAGUGAGGUCUUCGGACUGGUACGCGGCGGCGUUACGGCGUCGCCGAUGUCGCUGGAAAGAUGACCGAACUUGAUCAUUU